rnacentral:lncRNA from 1 species
AACGUAUUCAGCUCUGCUAGUGCGAAGCUCCGCUUUUGAUUUCUUUUUACGCAAGAAGUGAUUUGUUUGGUUGAGCGUCUGACUCCCUGUUUUCCAAUCAGGUCCGCUCGGGCCAUUUUCGAUUUCAUGAACCCAUGUUUCGAAAGACGCUGCUACGGAACACACGGUAAGCAUACAGAACGCUGGAUACGGUUGUGGAUAGCAGAGGAAUUGGAAACCAAGAUGGUUCCUGCGAACCAAACGGGUCGCUAGUUUGCUUGCUACCAAAGUGGUGUUUGCAGCUGUUCAAGAAGAAUAUGCAUCUCUCUUCUGCACACAUACAUGUCAAAGACGAGAUUCACAUGAAGGGUUUAGUCACUAGCACAAGGUAUAUAGUACGUACUUGGUAGCUAGCUAAGCUACUGUCUUUUUUGGCUGCUCAAGUAUGUCUCUCAACAAUCAAAUUUGUCAUCAUCAUCAUCAUCUUGCUCGAGCUGUGGUGAAUUUUGUGUGUGCUGGCCAUCGGCCAUUCAAGGAUUUCUUCUUCUUCUUUUGUUUUUUUGGAUUUGAGCUCAAGCCUUGCCUUUGUGCAGGAUUCAGUACAACAUCGUCACUGAGUAAUGCAUAGGAGAAGGAAGGGUUCAUCUUGACAGCCAAGCCAAGGUUAGUGGCUUUCUCUGUUUUGUGCUCACGCAAUGUUGGAAUGCUAUGUGUGUCCACGUCCAUCUACCCGUUGUUAAUUCUUUGUUGGCCAACAAGACUACAUACUACCUUAUCGAGGUGCACCUCCAAAGACCACAUAACAGCAUCCCAAAUUUUAAUUUUCUUGCUGCUACUACUCCUGCUGCUUUGUGGUGCACUUGUUGUAGCAACAGCACUACUUCAAACACAAGUCUUGUAGUUGCUUAGCAUAGCAGCCCAGUGGCGCUCUUCUUGCAAGAGUUUUUGCUUUGUCAACUUGAAAGAUCAGUGUAGUAGUACACCAUUCUUGGCUUAAGAUUUCCAAGAUAAACAUGUUGUAAAUACAUGUGACUGUACUGCUAUAAUCUGAGCUAUCUCCCCUUUAUCUGGAUUAACUUGUCUUCACAUGCAUAAUUUGGUCUGUUUAAGUGAAUCUUCUCAGCAGGACAUGUCUUGUUGACAAGUUGUUUUAAAAUAUAAAUAGAAGAUAGAAAUAAGAGGGGAGGCCUAGAGAGCUAUUGUAAAUAGGAGGUGGGGUCAUAAUGCUUUUUGGUCACUGUGUUGUUUCAAGUAUUGAGUCAGUUUUUGAUCUGGAUGAUGACCGUGGUGGCCCAUAUUAGCUGCAGCUAACAGAGGACUAGGGGGAAGCGCUCUUCUCCUGCUCAAGCAUGCCGGACAGGACGGCCGUCAGCAACAUGGACAUCGUGUACAACAACGUCAACGUGGAUGCUGCCAACAGGAAUGACAUCUUCAUCGGUAACACACAUGCAUGUAACGCAUGGAUUUUAUUCGUUUGCCAAAAAUGUUGCUGUUGAUAUGAUGAGUAUUACUCUGAUGUUGUUUUGGUGCAUGUUGUUUUGGUGCUGAUGAAUUGGCUAGCCAAUCACGUUUGUAAACUAGCUAGUGUCUGUUUGUGAGAUGUGCACGCACCCCUGGAAACUGUGUACCUUGCUGAUCUGGGGCCAGAAAUUUGCUAGCAUAGCAAAGCUGAUCAAGGGUCUUGGCAUUCUAUUUGUUGUUGUUCUUCCGUUCACUGACACAUGGAUAGAUGGAUCAUUGAGGCCAAGACGCUGGAAGAACAAGGAGGGCAAAAAAAGAACCCAUCCUGUAUCUAGAUUCUGUGUAUAAGUAUGUAUGACUAGUAAAGUUGUGAUGUUUUGAAUACAAGAAAUAGAAAUUCUUGAUAUCAUUUCUUUCAUGGGGCCGUGCAGUAGAUAAAAUCAUGGUAGAAAUGUCUGGCCAAUGCAAAGUUCCG